rnacentral:rRNA from 1 species
UACGUAGGGGGCAAGCGUUGUCCGGAAUCAUUGGGCGUAAAGCGCGCGUAGGCGGUCCGGUAAGUCUGCUGUGAAAGUCGGGGGCUCAACCCUCGGAUGCCGGUGGAUACUGUCGGGCUUGAGUGCGGAAGAGGCGAGUGGAAUUCCUGGUGUAGCGGUGAAAUGCGCAGAUAUCAGGAGGAACACCAAUUGCGAAGGCAGCUCGCUGGGACGUUACUGACGCUGAUGCGCGAAAGCGUGGGGAGCGAACAGG